rnacentral:rRNA from 1 species
GGGCAGCGGCAGUACGGGUGUAGUAACGCGUGGGCAACGUUACCAUUUUGCGUACGGAAUAACUCAGGGAAACUUGCUGCUAAUACCGUAUGAGCCCGAAAGGGGAAAGAUUUAUCGGCAAAUGAUCGGCCCGCGUUGGAUUAGCUAGUUGGUGGGGUAAAGGCCUACCAAGGCGACGAUCCAUAGCUGGUCUGAGAGGAUGAUCAGCCACACUGGGACUGAGACACGGCCCAGACUCCUACGGGAGGCAGCAGUGGGGAAUAUUGGACAAUGGGCGCAAGCCUGAUCCAGCCAUGCCGCGUGAGUGAUGAAGGCCCUAGGGUUGUAAAGCUCUUUCACCGGUGAAGAUAUUGACGGUGACCGGAGAAUAAGCCCCGGCUAACUUCNUGCCAGCAGCCGCGGUAAUACGANGGGGGCUAGCGUUGUUCGGAUUUACUGGGCGUAAANCGCACGCUAGGCGGGCUAAUAAGUCAGGGGUGAAAUCCCGGGNCUCAACCCCGGAACUGCCUUUGAUACUGUUAGUCUUGAGCAUGGUAGAGG